rnacentral:rRNA from 1 species
AUACGAAGGGUGCAAGCGUUACUCGGAAUUACUGGGCGUAAAGCGUGCGUAGGUGGUUGUUUAAGUCUGUCGUGAAAGCCCUGGGCUCAACCUGGGAAUGGCGAUGGAAACUGGGCGACUAGAGUGUGGCAGAGGGUAGUGGAAUUCCUGGUGUAGCAGUGAAAUGCGUAGAGAUCAGGAGGAACAUCCGUGGCGAAGGCGCCUGCCUGGGCCAACACUGACACUGAGGCACGAAAGCGUUGGGAGCAAACAGGAUUAGAUACCCUGGUAGUCCACGCCCUAAACGAUGCGAACUGGAUGUUGGGUGCAAUUUGGCACGCAGUAUCGAAGCUAACGCGUUAAGUUCGCCGCCUGGGGAGUACGGUCGCAAGACUGAAACUCAAAUGAAUUGACGGGG